GUCCCGCAACGAGCGCAACCCCUAUCUUUAGUUACCAUCAUUAAGUUGGGGACUCUAAAGAUACUGCCCCGGUCAACGGGGAGGAAGGUGGGGAUGACGUCAAGUCCUCAUGGCCUUUAUGCCCAGGGCUACACACGUGCUACAAUGGGCAGUACAAAGGGUUGCAACACCGCGAGGUGAAGCCAAUCCCGCAAAGCUGCUCUUAGUUCGGAUUGGAGUCUGCAACUCGACUCCAUGAAGCUGGAAUCGCUAGUAAUUGUGGAUCANCGCGUCACGGUGAAUACGUUCCCGGGCCUUGUACACACCGCCCGUCACACCAUGAGAGUUGGUUGUACCAGAAGUUGUCGGGCUAACCCUUCGGGGGUGCAGGCACCUAAGGUAUGGCUGAUGAUUGGGGUGAAGUCGUAACAAGGUAACCAAGCC
rnacentral:rRNA from 1 species